rnacentral:rRNA from 1 species
AUUGAACGCUGGCGGCAGGCUUAACACAUGCAAGUCGAGCGGAGAGAGGUAGCUUGCUACUGAUCUUAGCGGCGGACGGGUGAGUAAUGCUUAGGAAUCUGCCUAUUAGUGGGGGACAACAUUUCGAAAGGAAUGCUAAUACCGCAUACGUCCUACGGGAGAAAGCAGGGGAUCUUCGGACCUUGCGCUAAUAGAUGAGCCUAAGUCGGAUUAGCUAGUUGGGGGGGUAAAGGCCUACCAAGGCGACGAUCUGUAGCGGGUCUGAGAGGAUGAUCCGCCACACUGGGACUGAGACACGGCCCAGACUCCUACGGGAGGCAGCAGCGGGGAAUAUUGGACAAUGGGCGGAAGCCUGAUCCAGCCAUGCCGCGUGUGUGAAGAAGGCCUUUUGGUUGUAAAGCACUUUAAGCGGGGAGGAGGCUACCUGGAUUAAUACUCUAGGAUAGUGGACGUUACUCGCAGAAUAAGCACCGGCUAACUCUGUGCCAGCCGCCGCAGUAAGAC